AUGACGUUGGGAGAGCGAGCGGCGGAUGGGUGAGUAACCCGUGGGGAACCUGCCCCUAAGUCUGGGAUACCAUUUGGAAACAGGUGCUAAUACCGGAUAAUAAAGCAGAUCGCAUGAUCAGCUUUUGAAAGGCGGCGUAAGCUGUCGCUAAGGGAUGGCCCCGCGGUGCAUUAGCUAGUUGGUAAGGUAACGGCUUACCAAGGCGACGAUGCAUAGCCGAGUUGAGAGACUGAUCGGCCACAUUGGGACUGAGACACGGCCCAAACUCCUACGGGAGGCAGCAGUAGGGAAUCUUCCACAAUGGACGCAAGUCUGAUGGAGCAACGCCGCGUGAGUGAAGAAGGUUUUCGGAUCGUAAAGCUCUGUUGUUGGUGAAGAAGGAUAGAGGUAGUAACUGGCCUUUAUUUGACGGUAAUCAACCAGAAAGUCACGGCUAACUACGUGCCAGCAGCCGCGAUAAUACGUAGGUGGCAAGCGUUGUCCGGAUUUAUUGGGCGUAAAGCGAGCGCAGGCGGAAAAAUAAGUCUAAUGUGAAAGCCCUCGGCUUAACCGAGGAACUGCAUCGGAAACUGUUUUUCUUGAGUGCAGAAGAGGAGAGUGGAACUCCAUGUGUAGCGGUGGAAUGCGUAGAUAUAUGGAAGAACACCAGUGGCGAAGGCGGCUCUCUGGUCUGCAACUGACGCUGAGGCUCGAAAGCAUGGGUAGCGAACAGGAUUAGAUACCCUGGUAGUCCA
rnacentral:rRNA from 1 species